CAUCUCUUUUCGUACUUAAGUCUAAUGUAAACCUUAAGAUUGUGUGAGUGAUGUCUAACCGACUUAAAUAUAAUUCAGAGAUUCAAGAAUAAUUGGAAUUGGAACUUAAGAGGACUUGCUGUAUUUCUUAUCUGUACACAUGAGCUGCACAGCAUGGGCAGCAAGCAGAAAGUUUUUAGCUGCUUUACAGGUCCACCUUUUAAGGCUAAUGUGAUUUUUAUACUUAACAGGAUGAAUUAUGUGGUCACUGGGAGGAAGACAAAGACCACUGGAAAACACCCACACAUAGACAGUGGACAAAGGAAGAAAGGUCACUGUUUUCUUCUCCUUUCUGACAUUCAGCCACUGGUUUAUCAGUUUGCUGCCAUGGCACAAGAAAGCGAGGGGAGUCAUCUUUCAGCCCUCCUCUGGAACUGGCUUCUCCCUCCUACAGACAGCCUUUCCCUUGCUGUAAAAUCUUUGUUUAAUGGCUGCAUUCAUUAUGCCGCUACAAAGACAGCUCCAUCUAAACGGUUAACUGGACAUCAAAUUCUGGCACAAAUUUUAAAGUUUCUUGGUCUUCCCACUGUACUCUUUCAAAAUGAAGAAGGUGUAAAGAAGAGUAACUGCGAUUCGUAUGGCUCAGAAAUGCUAAAUAUAGCAAUAAGUUGUUUAUCCUGA
rnacentral:lncRNA from 1 species